CCUAGGCCUCCCAAAGUGUACCACGCCCGGCCUUGUUUUAUUUUUAUAAGCAACAGACAGUCUCUAUAAUCUGUGGAAUCAGGGUAUAAUAUAAAUAAUAACACACCCAAAAGGUGGGCAAAGAGACAUCCACCCUGACACUCAAUCCUUUUGGUGCCAACCCCAUAGGCAGCCAAGAAGCCCUUUGACAAUGAAGAGAAAGGAACUGAAGCUGGAAGAUACAUGAAAGAUAAUUGGUAGCUUUGGGGCCGAUACAGCAAAGAAGUUGAAAGUGGUGUCUGCCAUUUAUAGAAAUGACUCAUUUCUUUAAGUGGCCUAAACCCUAUUACCAAUUUAACUCAUGCCCCCAACUCACAUAUUUCCCUGGCCAUCCCACCUUAAACAGAAUAAGACAGACAAGUUACUAUAUAUUUCACUAAGCAUUCGAAUUUAUUAGAGUCUGCACUUUGCUCAGAUGAAGGGUUUGUGGUCUUAUCCGCUGCUCCUAGCUGGGAGUUGGAGUGUGUUGCUCAGUUAAUAUAGUAUGUCCUCUGUAUGUUCUCCUGUAACAACUGGACAGUGUUUUCCUUGGCCAGAGGGGCUGAGCUGUAUUCACUUGCUCAAGGACUACAAGGUACCCAGUGGAAUGUUUCAUGUUUAUUGGCUCUUAAUGGACUACUACUGAGGACUUGAGGGAAACAAACUAUAAGCCAUUCAUGCUCAGUCAAGCUUCCUUGGAGGAGACUGAAUUCCCCCUGUGAUCGCUGCCACCCUGCUGAUUCAACCGCCACUCAGACUGCCAUCAGAGGUUACUGGCUCUAGACUGAGAUGGUGGAGUUAAAGAUGCAUGAAGGAAUGAAGGGAGAAGAUGUCAAUGUCACGAGGAGAAUGACAGCCUCCACACAAUCUGUCCCGAAAGUCUUCUCAUCUCUCCACUUCAUGAGCCUUACUCCUGCACAUCACCAAAGACAAGAGAUGCAGACUUCCAGGAGUGAAAUAACAGAAAACAACCAGUGACUCACCGUGACACUGGAAAUGGCUGUGAAGAACGCAGAAUGCUGAGAGCCAACUGUCCAAUGGAUGAACAUGAGAAAGAACUAAGACAACCCCUCGAUUUCCUAAAUAUGCCAAAGGAAAGCCUCCCUUGGGGAAUGGCUGAUGCUUGGAAUAUAGAUGGCAUGUAUAAUUACUUAGUUUACAAACUGGGGUCAGUUUGACAUUAUAUGAUAAGCUGUAAGGAGAAGAAAUCUUCUUACCUCUCUACGUUCCUAAUUUGGCUGUAAAUGUGGUGUGCUGCAGGCAAGUCACAUUGGCACAUGAGAGCAGACUGUUAAAUUCUCAGAAAUUUUGUAAACCAGUUGUUAAACACAGGCAUCAUUAAGAAUUAAAGUAUAUAAACUUUCAAAUAAAUAAAUUUUAUCAAAAACAAAAAUAUAUUUUUUCAAAACUCAACACUUCCUAAUUAUUAUCAUUUUACUAUCAUCUAUGCUCUUGAAGUUAUAUUUUUAUCUAUUCUAUGGGCAUAAUGGAAACAAUAUGUCCAGCUCACUUUCCAACUUUUCCCUUAGUUGCAUCACACUGGUAGCUUGAGAUCAGCUAAGGUAGAGGUAUUCAUAUCACAAAAAUUGGCAAACACUACAAAUCAGGAUUUCAUUUGUCUUGUUGACUGUCUACACCACUAGUUCUCAACCAAGGUGACGUUUGCCCCUCCAAUGCCUAACAUUUGGCAAUGUCUCGAUAAAUUUUUGGUUCUUCCAACGGGGGAUUACUACUAGUAUCUAGUGGGUAGAGACCAUGGAUGCUGCUAAAUACCCUAUAAUUCACAGGACAACUGUAUUAAUCUGUCCUCACAUUGCUAAUAAAGACAUACCAGAGACUGGGUUACUUACAAAGGAAAGAGGCUUAAUUGAUUCACCGUUUCACAUGGCUGGGAGAACUCAC
rnacentral:lncRNA from 10 species